UCAAGCCCAGGUACUACUAAGAAUGUCAUCAAAAACUUUAUUGUGGGGAUCCCUGGGUGGCGCAGCGGUUUGGCGCCUGCCUUUGGCCCAGGGCGCCAUCCGGGAGACCCUGGAUCGAAUCCCACGUCGGGCUCCCGGUGCAUGGAGCCUGCUUCUCCCUCUGCCUGUGUCUCUGCCUCUCUCUCUCUCUCUGUGACUAUCAUAAAAAAAAAUUAAAAAAAAACUUUAUUGUGUGCAUAGUUACAUGUAGAAAGAAAACCUAUAAACCACUUAAAACUAUGGAUAACUGUAGAUCUUGAACUUGGUUCCUUAUGAUUCUUCAAAAUGAGUAUUAUGAGGGAAAGGAUUUUGUAUCUUGGACAAAAAUAGUUUUGGAGACCUAUAAAUGUUUCCCAUUGAUGUCAACAUAUCACACAGGCAGGUAGCAUAUCUCUAUCUGGCCCCACAAUUAUUUGACAACAUUUUUGUCACAGCAGAGGAUCUCAGAUGGUACAGUGGUGUUUGUAUCCCAUCAGCAGCCAAAAGCCAGGAGUUGUCUGCCAAAGUUGUAAGCGCAUGUAUGCUGUGUAUGCUGUGGCGUAGCUGACAGCGGCCUCAAGGAGUAUGUCAUAGGAAAUUCUAAGGACGAUGAAGCCAGACUCCACUCUGCAUGGAUCCACAGCAGUUUAGGGGUACGACCUGUCUGAUCCUGGCAUAACUCCCAGAGAUGGUACUUCCACCUUGCCCAGAGCAAGAGCUCCAUGGAGAAUGGCCAUAAAGAGUCACUCUGAAGCAGAUGAAAUCUCAGCAUGAGAGAGAGAUGAGUGUUCUAGUUGAAGUGAGGGCCAUGUUCCAGGAGACACAUCAGCUCUGCCCUUUCAGCUUCCACUAUACCUUUUCCAGGAGAACUUGGAUCAUUUCCACAUCAAGAAAUGCAGUUUGGAAACCCACUGGACCAGGAAAGCAAAGACACAGUCAUGAUGCAAAUACCCCAAGAGAUGUAAAAUGUCAACAAAAGGCACAAUAUAAGAAGGGAAUGAAUAAAGGCAGAGUCUGGACCCUAGUUCCCACUCUACUACUCUUUCUUUUUAGGAAACAUUUGCUGAUGCCUGGUCCCGGAGCUGCAUUUCUCAAGCUUUAAUAUCCAUGAGAGAGUUGACAAGGCAAUGAACAUAAAAAUCAGAAGGUCUCGCUCUCCUUGAGGCACAAGAGUGGAAGAGAUAAGGGCACAGUGCAUUCGUAAGAGGUGGUGUCAUGAUGCAUGAGAAAGAAU
ensembl:lncRNA